UACGAAGGGGCUAGCGUUGUCCGGAAUCAUUGGGCGUAAAGGGCGCGUAGGUGGCCUGCUAAGCGUGCGGUGAAAGUCGGGGGCUCAACCCCCGAUCGGCCGUGCGAACUGGGAGGCUUGAGCACUGUAGAGGCAGGCGGAAUUCCGGGUGUAGCGGUGGAAUGCGUAGAGAUCCGGAAGAACACCGGUGGCGAAGGCGGCCUGCUGGGCAGUUUUGCUGGACACUGAGGCGCGAAAGCGUGGGGAGCGAACAGG
rnacentral:rRNA from 1 species